rnacentral:lncRNA from 1 species
UGUUUCAGUUCCUCCCAGCUGUGUUGAACAUAAGAUGAGUGUGAGAGAAACCGAAAGACAUGUAUAACUGCAAAAGUUGCUAGCUGGCAAGUCAGUCCAAGUGAAGACUUCAUCGGUGGAACUCUUAGAGGAUUUAAAUAAACUCUGAAGAAGAAAGAGCGUGAUGAAGAGAAUGAUGGAAAGAUGAGAUGUAAGCGUAAGGAGGGAUGAUCAGGAAUGGGGAGAGCAGCCGGAUUCUGGGAAGUUUUCUUUGCCACCCAAAAACACACUUUUGAAGCUUCCGGAGUGUCUUUUUUCGGCACAAUCUGAUAUUAAGACCAGACUGGGAUUACCACACACUGUCUGUCAUCAGUAUCCGCUGAGCUGGAGAUCGUACACACUGCUGUUUUAUGCACGUGGCAGGGGUUGAUGGGUAGGAUGAGGAGCAACACAUUGCUCUGGGUGCUGUUUUCAAGUUGGACCAUCCAAACACAAACUCAGAUGAGGAUGUCGCCUGAAACGGUUCAACAGUGGUCCGAUACCUUUGGAAAACAGCUUUUGGCCUUGUCGAACAGAUACUCAGGCGCUCAGCUCUUACAGAAGGUUUGUCUAUUGAGAUAGUAAAAGAUGAAAACGUGACUUUACCCCCUCAUUUCAAUCCUAACAUCAAAGCAAUCAGGAAUAUUUCUGAUAUUGUCUGAUAAUCUCCAGAGGAAUCAGGUUUUAUCCGUAAAUCACUAACUGCUGGUAAAUGUCAAAUGCAGCGGAGUCUAGUUAUCUCUGUUUGAAUUUACUCUACACUUUAAUUAACUUUACGUUAUACUGCUGUUAACCAUAGCCCCGGUGCCAGCCUUCAAGCAGCCCAUCUGCCUACCAGAGAGUCAUAUAAUGAACAGUUCAUAUCGGAACUGAAUAUGUAGGCAUUCUUUCACCUUAAAGGUUUUUAUUAGUGCAGCACAACAGCAGGAUGUGCCUGAACAGUGCGGGAGGAAGACUGCUGCAUCUCCCCCUCCCUCUAUUCUUUUUUUUGUUUUGUUUUGUUCUUGUCUCUAAUCAAAGCUCAGAAUAAAGCCUGGUACUCUUACAGUGGUGUAUGGAGGUGGAUUAUCCCUGUCUGACCUCCUCUUUCCUCCUGGCCUGCGGGAAGAGAGCAGGAGUCAUUGCUUUGGACACAGAUUGAGAUUCUGCUCUCACUGACCUUUGAUACUGAUCAAUGAUCUUGAACUUGGCCUUUUCUUUCAUUGGCUUUCAGAGUGAUUUACUGUUUGUUAAUUUCUGAACUCUAAACUUCAACAGCGCAUAUAAAGCUUUUGUCCUAGAAACUUAAUUUAGAAUUACAGAACAGAAAGAGAAUGUUUAUGAAUUUCUGCGAUGCUUAUUAUAGUUCCUCUGUAGUAUCAUGCCCUAUUUACUUCUUUGUUAAUGCCUAUCGCAAAGUGACCUUGAGUUCAUUGAAAUAUGCUUUACAGAAUAAAAUUAUUUUUAUUCUUCUUCUUAUUUAAAUCUGCUGUUCUCUUAGCAGUAUAGGCUAAAGCUAAUUAGAAUUAUUAUAGACUAAUCCACUGUAGUCUAUGAUAAUUAUAGCUAGCUUUAUAUUAAAACUAAAAUGACUAAUUCAGUUUCAAUAUUUUUAUCAUGAAUAUAAUGCAACAUUAGAGGUGAGCUAUCUAACCAUUCUUCCAUCCCCUCCGUCUUCUGUUCAUCCCUCAGUCUAUAUUCAAAUGCGCUUGUUCUUCUGCAGUUUAAUUACUACAAUUCCAUGAUGAUUAACGCAUUGGAUGUGGAUGGGAACAAUGUGGAGCUAGGAGGAGAAUUUCCUCUGGAGGCGAAUGAACACUUCAAUGAACUGCCUGUCAAUGACCAGCAAAGUGUCAUACAAGUGCCCACCAAUGUCUAUAACAAAGGUAAGACGCAGAAAUGAUAGGUCCAUUUUCAUACCUGAUUAGAAAAAGAUAAAGGAAAUCUCUCUGUCCCUCAGAUCCUGAUAUUUUGAACGGGGUGUUUAUGUCAGAAGCACUGAAUGACAUACUUACCAGUAAGUUCGAGAAGGACCCAACACUAACCUGGCAGUACUUCAGCAGUUCAACAGGAUUUUUCAGAUUUUACCCUGGUAAUCAUCACACCAGUCCAGGUUACUGCAUGAAAGCACAGUGAUUAUUCUUAUUAACAUGCAAGACAAAAAUGACAGUGUUGUUUAGAACUAUGU